UACGGAGGGGGCUAGCGUUGUUCGGAAUUACUGGGCGUAAAGCGCACGUAGGCGGCUUUGUAAGUUAGAGGUGAAAGCCCGGGGCUCAACUCCGGAAUUGCCUUUAAGACUGCAUCGCUAGAAUUGUGGAGAGGUAAGUGGAAUUCCGAGUGUAGAGGUGAAAUUCGUAGAUAUCGAGAGGAACACCGGUGGCGAAGGCGGCCUUCUGGACAGUUACUGACGCCGAGACGCGAAAGCGUGGGGAGCAAACAGG
rnacentral:rRNA from 1 species